GUUAGUGGCGGACGGGUGAGUAACACGUGGGAACGUGCCUUUAGGUUCGGAAUAACUCAGGGAAACUUGUGCUAAUACCGAAUGUGCCCUUCGGGGGAAAGAUUUAUCGCCUUUAGAGCGGCCCGCGUCUGAUUAGCUAGUUGGUAAGGUAAUGGCUUACCAAGGCUACGAUCAGUAGCUGGUCUGAGAGGAUGACCAGCCACAUUGGGACUGAGACACGGCCCAAACUCCUACGGGAGGCAGCAGUGGGGAAUCUUGCGCAAUGGGCGAAAGCCUGACGCAGCCAUGCCGCGUGUAUGAUGAAGGUCUUAGGAUUGUAAAAUACUUUCACCGGUGAAGAUAAUGACUGUAGCCGGAGAAGAAGCCCCGGCUAACUUCGUGCCAGCAGCCGCGGUAAUACGAAGGGGGCUAGCGUUGCUCGGAAUUACUGGGCGUAAAGGGAGCGUAGGCGGACAUUUAAGUCAGAGGUGAAAUCCCGGAGCUUAACUUCGGAACUGCCUUUGAUACUGGGUGUCUUGAGUGUGAGAGAGGUAUGUGGAACUCCGAGUGUAGAGGUGAAAUUCGUAGAUAUUCGGAAGAACACCAGUGGCGAAGGCGACAUACUGGCUCAUUACUGACGCUGAGGCUCGAAAGCGUGGGGAGCAAACAGGAUUAGAUACCCUGGUAGUCCACGCCGUAAACGAUGAUUGCUAGUUGUCGGGAAG
rnacentral:rRNA from 1 species